GGGAAUCUACCGUGCCCUGCGGAAUAGCUCCGGGAAACUGGAAUUAAUACCGCAUACGCCCUACGGGGGAAAGAUUUAUCGGGGUAUGAUGAGCCCGCGUUGGAUUAGCUAGUUGGUGGGGUAAAGGCCUACCAAGGCGACGAUCCAUAGCUGGUCUGAGAGGAUGAUCAGCCACAUUGGGACUGAGACACGGCCCAAACUCCUACGGGAGGCAGCAGUGGGGAAUAUUGGACAAUGGGCGCAAGCCUGAUCCAGCCAUGCCGCGUGAGUGAUGAAGGCCUUAGGGUUGUAAAGCUCUUUCACCGGAGAAGAUAAUGACGGUAUCCGGAGAAGAAGCCCCGGCUAACUUCGUGCCAGCAGCCGCGGUAAUACGAAGGGGGCUAGCGUUGUUCGGAAUUACUGGGCGUAAAGCGCACGUAGGCGGAUAUUUAAGUCAGGGGUGAAAUCCCAGAGCUCAACUCUGGAACUGCCUUUGAUACUGGGUAUCUUGAGUAUGGAAGAGGUAAGUGGAAUUGCGAGU
rnacentral:rRNA from 1 species